CCUUUGCAGAGGUUCUGAUUAAUCUCCCCCCCUAUAUAUAUAUAUAUAUAUAUAUAUAUAUAUAUAUAUAUACCUCUGCACCACCUGCAGCUAUGCCGCCCACUGGUCCUUUAUUAUUGAGGCAAAUGAGAAGCCGCAGACAGAUGAAGAUGAUGGGCCUCCGGCGCGAGGGAGCCGAGGGGAAGACGACGAGGAAGAGCAAAUUGGAGGCAAUAGGCGAGGAUUGAGACGUAUGGGGUGCUGCGGCCCAGCGCUGUGAACGGUAAUGAAUGUCCAGCCGGUGCGAACCGCAGGAGGCUUCCUUAAUAUACUACAUCGUCUCGCUGAAACAGAAUCCAGCAAUAGUUUCCACAAGGUGCCAUGUAGACAAUAAUUGAAUUCUAUUUCUGCUGAUGGGCAAGCGAGACAAAUAAUCAACUCACCCAG